rnacentral:rRNA from 1 species
UACGGAGGGUGCGAGCGUUGUCCGGAAUCACUGGGCGUAAAGGGCGCGUAGGCGGCCAUUCAAGUCAGAGGUGAAAGCCCAAGGCUCAACCUUGGAACUGCCUUUGAUACUGUUUGGCUUGAGACCGGUAGAGGUAAGUGGAACUGCGAGUGUAGAGGUGAAAUUCGUAGAUAUUCGCAAGAACACCAGUGGCGAAGGCGGCUUACUGGACCGGUUCUGACGCUGAGGCGCGAAAGCGUGGGGAGCAAACAGG